UACGUAGGGUGCAAGCGUUAAUCGGAAUUACUGGGCGUAAAGCGUGCGCAGGCGGUGAUGUAAGACAGAUGUGAAAUCCCCGGGCUCAACCUGGGAACCGCAUUUGUGACUGCAUCGCUGGAGUGCGGCAGAGGGGGAUGGAAUUCCGCGUGUAGCAGUGAAAUGCGUAGAUAUGCGGAGGAACACCGAUGGCGAAGGCAAUCCCCUGGGCCUGCACUGACGCUCAUGCACGAAAGCGUGGGGAGCAAACAGG
rnacentral:rRNA from 1 species